rnacentral:rRNA from 1 species
UGGUGGCGAGUGGCGAACGGGUGAGUAAUAUAUCGGAACGUGCCCAGUCGUGGGGGAUAACGUAGCGAAAGCUACGCUAAUACCGCAUACGAUCUAUGGAUGAAAGCGGGGGAUCGCAAGACCUCGCGCGAUUGGAGCGGCCGAUAUCAGAUUAGGUAGUUGGUGAGGUAAAGGCUCACCAAGCCGACGAUCUGUAGCUGGUCUGAGAGGACGACCAGCCACACUGGGACUGAGACACGGCCCAGACUCC